GCCGGUUGAACGACCUCACCAUGUCGACCGCCUCUCCUCAAGAAGUGCCAGGGAGAUCUGCUCGUGCCAUGAUGAGGUCGUUCAACCAGC
rnacentral:pre_miRNA from 1 species